AGGUGGGAAAACGCCACGGGCCAAACAAUCGACUAGGGCCCCAGUAGUAGCCUAGACCAGGCCCAAGGCAUCGUUGGACAGAUGAUGGUCUUUUUGAAUUCUGUUUUGCUUAUCGGUACAGCCUUUAGGACCUUAACGCAAUAUUUUGCCACGGGCACAUAUACGAGUUUAUAACAUUAUUAGACAAUGGCGCUUGAAUACGGACUAUACACUUGCGUCAAUUAAUAUUCAUUUUUUU